rnacentral:rRNA from 1 species
UCGAGAAUAGUCUACAAUGGACGAAAGUCUGAUAGUGCGACGCCGCGUGAACGAUGAAUCCCUUCGGGGUGUAAAGUUCUUUUAUAUGUGAGCAAUGCUUUUUAUGUGAAUAGCAUGAGAAGAGAGAUAUUAGCAUAUGAAUAAGCAACGGCUAACUCCGUGCCAGCAGCCGCGGUAACACGGGGGUUGCAAGCGUUGUCCGGAAUUACUAGGCGUAAAGGGCAGGUAGGCGGAUCCAUAAGUUUGAUGUUAAAGGCAGCGGCUCACCCGCUGUAGGGCAUCAGAUACUGUGGAUCUGGAAUACGGUUGGGGAAGACAGAAUUCCUGGUGUAGCGGUGGAAUGCGCAGAGAUCAGGAGGAAUACCAAAGGCGAAGGCAGUCUUCUAAGCCGUUAUUGACGCU